AGGAUAAUAGUUAAUAAUAACAUUUAAUUUGCAUUUAAAAAGUGUUGAACCCAUCAACUUAUCUUA
rnacentral:tRNA from 1 species